ACGGAAUAGAUACCCUGGUAGUCCUAGCCGUAAACGAUGUGCACUAGGUCGUGGUGGUUCUGACGCCGUCAUGGCCGAAAGCUAAAGUGCUAAGUGCACCGCCUGGGGAGUACGGUCGCAAGGCUAAAACUCAAAGGAAUUGACGGGGGCUCACACAAGCGGUGGAGCAUGUGGCUCAAUUCGAUGCAACGCGAAGAACCUUAUCCUGGGCUUGACAUGUACGGAUGAAACCGAUGAAAGUCGGGGACUGCCCGAAAGGGUGAAACGUACACAGGUGCUGCAUGGCUGUCGUCAGCUCGUGCUGUGAAGUGUUGGGUUAAGUCCCCUAACGAGCGAAACCCUUGUCGUUAGUUGCCAGCGGGUCAUGCCGGGCACUCUAACGAGACUGCCGGUGUUAAACCGGAGGAAGGCGGGGAUGACGUCAAGUCCUCAUGGCCUUUAUGCCCAGGGCUGCACACGUGCUACAAUGGGACGUACAAAGGGUUGCCAAGCCGCGAGGCGGAGCUAAUCCCUAAAAGCGUCUCCCAGUCCGGAUUGCA
rnacentral:rRNA from 1 species